rnacentral:rRNA from 1 species
GACGAACGCUGGCGGCGUGCCUAAUACAUGCAAGUAGAACGCUGAAGGAGGAGCUUGCUCUUCUGGAUGAGUUGCGAACGGGUGAGUAACGCGUAGGUAACCUGCCUGGUAGCGGGGGAUAACUAUUGGAAACGAUAGCUAAUACCGCAUAACAGUAGAUGUUGCAUGACAUUUGCUUAAAAGGUGCAAUUGCAUCACUACCAGAUGGACCUGCGUUGUAUUAGCUAGUUGGUGGGGUAACGGCUCACCAAGGCGACGAUCCAUAGCCGACCUGAGAGGAGGAACAGACACACUGGGACUGAGACACGGCCCAGACUCCUACGGGAGGCAGCAGUGGGGAAUAUUGGGCAAUGGACGAAAGCCUGACCCAGCCAAGCCGCGUGAGUGAAGAAGGUUUUCGGAUUGUAAAGCUCUUUAAGAAGGGAGGAAGGGCAGUGAGUGUAGAACGUUCUACUUUGACGUGACCUUCAGAAGAAGCGCCGGCUAACUUCGUG